GACAGAGGCCUCAAGCGUUAGGCGGAAUCACUGGGCUUAAAGCGUGUGUAGGCGGACUUCUAAGUGCCUUGUGAAAUCCCACGGCUCAACCGUGGAACUGCUGGGCAUACUGGGGAGUCUUGGGCCAUUCAGGGGCAAACUGGAACAAGCGGUGGAGCGGUGAAAUGCGUAGAUAUCGCUUGGAACGCCGGAAGGUGAAAACAGGUUGCUGGGGAUG
rnacentral:rRNA from 1 species